GGAAUAGGGAGCCAAAGUUCCUCGAGAAUGAAGACAAACUGGCAAGCCAGUUGCUUCGUUCUGCACUUAAUAAAGUGAUCAUACUCCGAGACCAAUAUGAUUGGUUCAUAGCGAAAAACGCUUCGGAGAUGUACUUUCCUUUGAGUUAUUACGAUAACCCAGAAGAGAAAGUACCUCUAAACGAUCUACCAGGGCCAUACUUAGCCUUGGUGACCGAGAUCGAGCAAUUCUUUGAAAUGCUGAUCGGUUUAGAGAUGAAAUGGACUGAUCGUCCAGAGGCUAUAUACCAAGACCUUUAUAUGGAAAUGGAUGCCACACUUUAUUACGAAGAGGCCCUUGAACUUCACGAAAGAGUUGAUAAACUCGAGUUUAAACUUAAACCUUAUGAAGGUCGAGUUAAACCCGGGAAAACAAUCCACGAGACUGCACCCAUACUUACUGCUUUACGCGGUAUUCUGGGAACUAGUCUACGAAGAUGGAACAACUCUCCUAAUCCAGUAACUAUUAGUACGUUACUGAGUUAGGUCGUGGUGGGAAUCUCCCGCCCUGAAAAUCAGAUGAAAGGCUCCUCAAUAGAGAGACCGACCCUUUGGGGACGACUCUACGAUGAGGAUUCUAUCUCUCAACUUCUCGACACUUCGAGAAACUUCUGUUAAGUUUAUUAACAAUAAAAACCAUACCUUUAGGUCCGGGUGAAAUACCGGUAACCAUGGAGGGUAGUUCUUAUCAGAAGACUCCAAGAAACGGAAGAAGAAGAAAGAUGUGUCCAACUCGCAUAAAAUCUAUGCGCAUCGGCCUAACCAAGGGCACUGGGUGUUAUACCAGGUAACUUGGAAGGGGACCGACGGUGUGGAAACCUUUCUAUCCGAUUCAAUCGGUGGAACUUCUUAUUUUACAAACCAGAGUGGUUCACUGAAGAACCCUUCUCGGCUUAGUACUAACGAGGCAUUUCUUUACAGAAACGCGCAGUUAGGACUAAGGUCCGAUCUUAAC
rnacentral:misc_RNA from 1 species